AGAGCGGUCCCACCCGCUGCGCCCAGAACGGAGCCCGCGUUUCCGCAGAGCUGGAGCUCCCGGCUCGGGGUCUCUUCCCUCCGCCUUCACGGAACUGCCCCGGAGCCCGCGGCGAGGGCGGCCUCACUGACGCUGCCGGCUCUGGAGGGGCCCCGGAGGCCGAAGCCGCGACAGUCGUGCGGACGGCGGGCCGGUUGUUUCAACAAGUAACUUAAAGACCAAAUGGAAAAAAAGGAGGUUUGUGCCUGAGAUCAUGUUGAUGUGAAACCAGGGAUGGCCACCUUGUCCCAGGUACAGAAUUCGAGUGAGGAGACUACACCCUCAGCAUCCAGCUGUCUGAGUCCUCAGUGUGCUUCAAAUGAUGGAGAACUAUUGCUGCUUUAUGAGAAGAGUUAGUACCUCGUAGCUAAGCUUUAGCUGGAGCUUAUGCAGGAUUGAUUCCAAUUUAUAUAUACUGUUGGCAUGGAGGUUCCUCCUCCUCU